UGCCUUGUCAUUGUCAUCGUAAGCCGGU
rnacentral:sRNA from 1 species